rnacentral:rRNA from 1 species
UACAGGGGGGGCAAGCGUUGUUCGGAAUUACUGGGCGUAAAGGGUCUGUAGGUGGCUUGCUAAGUCAGACGUGAAAUCCCUCAGCUUAACUGGGGAACUGCGUCUGAUACUGGCGAGCUUGAGUGCAGGAGAGGAACGCGGAAUUCCAGGUGUAGCGGUGAAAUGCGUAGAUAUCUGGAGGAACACCGGUGGCGAAGGCGGCGUCCUGGACCAACACUGACACUGAGGAGCGAAAGCCAGGGGAGCAAACGGG